GUGAAAGAAAGAUGACAAUCCCCAGAGCAACAACUGGUGAUAUUUUAACAGUGUCAAACUGCAGCAUGGAAAUACUAGUAAGCAAGCUAAUAAUCUGCUAGUUUCAUUUCAUAUAGGAAGAGCAGUAUAGUGAGUGCAGAUAUGGAACAACCAAGUUCUUGCACUGUGAAAAUAUACAUUAUUCCCAUGGGACGACUACAUAUCCAAUGAAGAUGAGCAAGGGAAGGAAGAAAAAAAAGAAGCUAAAAUCUGACUUGGAAAGGCUAUGCCCGUCUAUGUUACACGAUGACACGGGAAUUAAGAGGUCUAACGAGAGUUAAAUAUGAGCGAUACACUAAAAAUAACACGAUGAAACUGCCGUUAAUCUGUUAACAAAACAUUUUGAACUCAACUUCACCUUCGUUAACAGCAGCUCAACAAUGAUUCUCAAAAGGGUGGAAGGCUUGCACGAAGAUAAUAGACUAUAUGCACAUAAAACUGAUAAAUGGUUUACCAACAUUUUCUGUGCUAAGAUCCUACAGCUGCUGCCAAAACCAAAGGUAUUGCUCCAGUAGGAUCUUAGCACAG
rnacentral:misc_RNA from 1 species